ACCUAAUUGGUCCAGAGCGGUGUGCGUUGAUUCCCCAACUGUUCUCUGUUUUCGCUUGGUGGUGGUGACGUAGUACCGCUUUCCAGCUUGAUUGGUCUUCGGGAAUUUGCUGAACGUUCACGAUACGCGAUCUUCCUGUUUGAUUGGUCAACAGGGAUUGUAACGAACAUUUGCGACCAAUUCCCUGGUGUUCGAGUCCUGCAUUUUUUAUUCAUGCUUUUUCGUGCAAGCCCGUGACCCUUACCGUGGUUGGCAUGAAUGGUGAAUAUCCAUGUCCACACCAAAGUGCCUACGCUGUAUGCAAACGAUCUCCCGUUAUCACUUCGCUGACAGCGUGCCACUGCCAAUCCCAUCGUCUACAAAUCAUUGUCACCAAAGACCUGAAGAAGAAACUCUCAAGUUCUAUGCUGUCACAGUGCCUGAGUACACUAACGCGAUACGACAAUCCCAAACGUGCAUAUUCAUUUUAACCCUGAUUUUUUCGAGGAGGAUGCAUUCAUGGGAUCAUUCUGAAGCAACGUCCAGCGAAUAUCGAGACUGAAUGACAAACAAUUCGAUGUAACAAACGUAGAGCCUACAAAUUAGGGCCCCGCUUUAUAGGCCUGACCACAUACAAGUAUCGGCCAGGCCACAAUUUUACUUGGCCCGCAUGAAAAUAAAACUAAUGAAUAUUAUUAAAUCCCGGACGAUGAAUGGUAGGGAGAGCAUUCAGUUUAAAUUAUAUGAUACAGCUAAAAAUACAAGAUAAAGAACUUAUUUCUUGAGUAUUUAUUUCAUCUUUUCACGCGUAAGGCAAACCUAAUUUGAGAAAUGUAUUCAGCCCCAUUUAAGUACUGUUAUUAGCAGAAAUGAUGAUAUUGAAAACCAAUAAGAAUGAUAUUCCCUGAAAGCAAUGAACGGGAUUAAAAAACAAACACCUUCACAGUACAUUCCUGGAUAGGAGACACAUUUGCACUCUACCCCGUGGUAUCACAUACAUCACUACGCCAAGCCAUUUAGGGGACCGGGAGAGUGGCUUUGCACUUGAACUUGACUUACUCUUCAAUGAAGUACUUCUUUUGGCGUCGGCGCGCACCAUGGCCGCGGCCAUGGUGAAUAGUUUCUGAUCGGUUACAACAUCUCUCUAUUGGCCUUUUGAAUAUGCAUGUCUUUAUAAAUUCACAAAUCUUCCAGGCAAAAACUUCAUGAUUUGUUUUGUUGUCCCAGAUUUCUAUGGCAAUCUGUUUUCAAGUGUGUGGUUCCAUUGAGUUUAGAGUUCACAUGACAUCUCUGCCCAGGUAUCACUCUCACGAUUUCACUACCAAAACAUCAAUACAGCGGAAUUCCUUAAGCAUAGAUAAAUCCUCCAUUAUUUAUUUGCUAAACAAAGCCACAAUAGUCACAUCGACAUGUAUAAAGGUCUUCAUAACAAUUAGUUAAUUCAUACUAAAAGUACCUCAACAAAUCAAUUUUAAUUGGAAAAACUCAAAUGUCCACAGCAGUGACAAGGUAAAUUUAAAAACUUCAACGGUUGCUUCCGACAGAAUUAAGGUUGAGAUUUGUGGGCAUCAUUAGGCUGUCAUCUACAAAGUGUGUUCCCCCGCAUACUUUUCCACAAAUUCCUCAUUUAAACACGGGCCGGGCAAGACGUCCUCCGGCACACUGCCGACUAUUACACCUUUUUAAAACCGCACAACACUGUUGGUAAAUGUAAUAAAAAAAUUCAGAUGAUGUGCCAGCUGCCGCUUAAAACGAUUGUUAUAAAUGUACACUCGAGCCCACUGUAAGAUCAGUUUUAUGUCUUGGAUAUCAAGCGUAUUUUCGUCUUUUAAUUUGUGUACGUUUUUGCUGGAUAAUCUUUUGUAUUGCCCAUAUGUAUUUUGUCUAUUCUUCAUUAUGCCAAUAGAAUAAUUUCUGUGUUUUAUGAUGCGGGCAGUACAUUUCUAAUCUAAUCCAAUUAUGUCAGUCAAACUACACUGGUGUGGACUUUUGUGCCAAUGUCUCACUUUGACGGUUGAAAAGGGGAACAAAACGGUGCGUUCCACUUACAUUAGCCUCGAUACAUCGUUCCUAUCCUUAGAACGCUGAGUAGAACGUUCAACCCAGCGGACUUUACUCCCAUUAAACUCGAAUGGCUAAUAACUGAAAUAUUCCCAAAAGAAGGCACGAGUUGACAUGGUGUCUGCUUCCUAUUUUUUUACACUUCACUGGGCAACUUCCUGCACGAAGUUGGUCUCUUCAGCAUCAUCAGUCUGAAACUUGUCCAAAUCCAGAGACUGUGGUGUAGUUGGAAAAAUAUUAUUUCUUACUUCCAUUUACUUUGUUGCUACCCGCUAGUACAUUGUUUAGCACAGUUCAAAAAUAUGUCGCCAUACAUCACGGUAUGAGCGCGUUUACUGGCUCAAUCAGGGUCAUGCAUGAAAACGGGAAGGUUCAGUCUCUGUUUAUUGUCGCCCAAACAUCCUGUUCUGUUUCAUCCUGUAUGUAGAGGCUGAAAGUGAAGUAACCUCCACAACUUGCCAAGCAGGUGAAUAUCAAAUGAAAAGGAUAUCAGCCUUUACCAAGAACAUGAAAGGCCUUUGUAAGCUACCAUAUUAAUUUAUAGAAACUGAAAAAUUACUUGACUUUAAGAGAAGUAUCCUGCCAAACUGACCUCUCACUUCCAAAAAUCUUAGAUACAUGAAGACCAGUGCAAUUCAGUGAUCCAAAGUAUUACUUGAGGAAUAGAAAGGGCGAAAUUCUGACAUGAAUGUUCAAGUUAGGAAUCAUUCUUCCAAAAAAUGCAAUAGGGCACUCAGCCCCACGUAAACUCUCCACAGGCGGACUGCGCGAGGGUUCCAGAAGCUCUGCUCAACACUUAGCAUAUAUUGUCAUUGUUUUCUAGAAAAUCAGAAACUAGCCUUCACAACAUUAGGCUUUUAUCCAUUACUAGCUUUCCAGUAGCAAAGUAUCCGGGCGUAGAGAGGGAUUUAAUCACUUACCCCUGGUAAAGUGUCGUUCUUCUUCAACAGUACCCUUUUUUACCCAAUUGUGCAUAUUUUGUAGUAGUAGCAGAUGUUUCCCCCUGUUUCACGAGUGCACUUUUUACACCGAUCGCACUUACCAACGAGCACUGUUUACCUACAUGCAGCUAAGCGAGGCUGUUGAGUGCCUAUCUUGACAAUCCUCCCCAAUGUCUGUGCUUGGCUACAUAGCUUUCGAGUACUUUUGUUAUCAUUGUUAUUUGAUGGUUCCUAAAUGAAAAAAAAACACAUCAAGACUAAGAGCAUAAUUAGUGAUGCACAAAAUCUCAUAUCUAUUGCGAUGCCCUACGUUGUAUGGAAAUACUGGAAUUUAUGGGUCGCACACUCGGUCUAAAUUUGACCAAAGAUAAAAACAUGCCCUGUUUACACGCACGGUCUCUGUACAUGUGGCAAAUUCUGUAAUGGUACCGCACACGAUUCAGUGUGUGACCCGCGUUUGAUCCCAGGCCAUAGUGAGGGAGAAGUCAUGAACAUUCUCGUCGUACGUGCGGGAAGGCUGACGAUAUUUCUAUAUUUGUAGUGUAUUUUUCGGAAGUUUCUUGUCAGAGUACGUAAUGCUAAAAAGUGUAUUUUAAGAAGCUUACGUAAUGAGAGAAAUCUCUGGAAGAAUUGUAGACUAUAGAAAUCGGGAAAACAGCGAGAGAGAUACACACACCGCAAGCGAGAUUUUGGAAGACAACUCUACCGCACGCGGGCUGUGAGAACUUGAAGUCUUUGACUUGUUGACUUCUGCACCAUUUUAACCUGUGGUGGCAGGUCGUCUGUAGAGCGACACUCGUUAGAACAGUUCUUCAAAAUGAAUGAUGAGGGCGCUGUAGUAGGUUGCCAGUUUUCGUUUCUAGUUCUGGUGCUGGUGUGAAUCUGUGAGCUUAGAGAAUUAUGAGCAACUGAAUUAUUCAACCAGCUCCUGGUACUGCAGAAAGAGUUCAAGAGCCACCUAACCUGUCUGACUCAUUUUUCGUUCCUGACUAACAUGGAAACCGGACAGGAUUCACUUCAGCUUCAGAAACAUGCGAGUCACCAUCUGACGAAUCUCUAGACGCUAGUAACACUUCACUCAGUUCUCAUUUUCGCUCAUACCCUACCAGUCAAGGUGUAAAUGCAGUCCUUUUUAGCGCCAGAAGUUUAGUUAUUAAGCUUCUGUCGUUCAAGUAUGAGCUUGAGGUCAACAGACCUGCGUUGGCUUUUAUCACCGAAUCCUGGCUGGAUGUGUGAUGUGAACUCCUCCAGAUCCAAAUUCCAGUUUAUUUAGGCGUGACACUGAGGAACAGCGGUGUACUUGUGGGCGUCGCCAAUCAUCUACACCCUAUCCGCAUCUCUGAGUUGGAGCAUCCGGACCUUGAACUCUUGUGGCUAGAAAUUUGUUUUUUAAGACUAGCAGUCUGUAUUGGAUAGGGUAUUGCUGUAUUCACGUAAUUAUCUGGCUAUUAUCAUCGUUGGCGAUUUCAAUGUGGAUUUUAGGCAGAAGUAUCCUAUUUCUGUAUUGUACAAUAGUGUCCUUAGUGUAUCAGAUAUACUCAAUCUGCAUCAGAUGGUUGGAUCAGUUACCCGUCCAAACUCAGGUUCAGAUUCUGAGGCAUCCAUUAAAGAUCUAAUCUGUUUUGGGGGGGUUUUUUGGUGAUUGUACAGACGUGAUAGAUAACAUAUUUACAAAUCUGGGUUUGGGUCACAGUGACCUCAACGGUGCAUUUUUUUCAUCUGUCCACUGCAUCUGUAUCUACCAAAAUCAGACGUCAAUUCGUUUAAUAUAAUAAAGCUGAUCAAACAGAACGUUUGGCUACCUUAUGCAGUAUUUCAUGUGAUACCUAUUUCCCAGCGGGCACAAAUGGUUGAAUUAACGUUGACCAAACGUUUAUCUCUAACGUUUAACUAACGUGGAAUUAUGAUUGAAUUUGAAAUUUUUUAAUGUUAAACGCUACCCUCUAAAAUCAACAGUGGAAGCAUAACAUCUACUUCACGUAAUAUCGACUUUGAUGCUAUGUUUGAAAGCCUGCAUUGAAUGGAUGUUGAAUAUUGGUUGUAUUUGAAAGUUUUUAUGACGUUGAAUA